rnacentral:rRNA from 1 species
GAUGAUUUAAAUGCAUUUUGACGAGCUCAAUCCCAUCUGAUCUCAGAAGCUAAGCAGGGUUGGUACUUGGUUAGUACUUGGAUGGGAGACCACCUAGGAAGACCAGGUGCAGUAGGCA